GACGAACGCUAGCGGCGUGCUUAACACAUGCAAGUCGAGCGGAAAGGCCUCUUCGGGGGUACCCGAGCGGCGAACGGGUGAGUAACACGUGAGUAAUCUGCCCUUCACUCUGGGAUAGCCACCGGAAACGGUGAUUAAUACCGGAUACGACACGUCCAGGCAUCUGGUGCGUGUGGAAACUUUUUGGGUGGGGGAUGUGCUCGCGGCCUAUCAGCUUGUUGGUGGGGUAAUGGCCUACCAAGGCCUCGACGGGUAGCCGGCCUGAGAGGGUGACCGGCCACACUGGGACUGAGACACGGCCCAGACUCCUACGGGAGGCAGCAGUGGGGAAUAUUGGACAAUGGGCGGAAGCCUGAUCCAGCAACGCCGCGUGAGGGAUGACGGCCUUCGGGUUGUAAACCUCUUUCAGGAGGGACGAAGGCCCACCCGCGAAUAGCGAGGUGGGUUGACGGUACCUCCAGAAGAAGCCCCGGCUAACUAC
rnacentral:rRNA from 1 species